rnacentral:lncRNA from 1 species
UGUAAUUGUAUCAGGUUUACAUACAUUUGUAUUUUCACACAUAGUCAUUUAAUACAGCUAGAGAUCAUAAGAGAAUAUAUUAAUUAAGAGAUAUAUUAACAUUUCUUUGUUUGACUAGUGACCCCUAAUGAUUUGCAUAUGGUGCCUUAGUAAAUUUAUGUAAGGAGCACGGAACACUAGAAGCCCGGAUUACCGGAUCACCCGGAUUUCCGGAGCACGGACUACACGGAGCAGGACUGCCCUAGUAAUCUAUAUUUGUAUCCGGGCUUGUAGAAGUGAUAUAAAAGAGAGAAAGAGCGUUAGACAGGAAGGGGAGAGAAUUCAUAAUGAGGAAGGACAGUAACGUUUAUGUAGUAGAUAGGAGAAC